GGCCUCGUGGCCCAAUGGAUAAGGCGUCGGACUUCGGAUCCGAAGAUUGCAGGUUCGAGUCCGGCCGGGGUCG
rnacentral:tRNA from 1 species